rnacentral:rRNA from 1 species
CCUACGUGAGGCAGCAGUGGGGAAUAUUGCACAAUGGGGGAAACCCUGAUGCAGCAACGCCGCGUGAGUGAAGAAGUAUUUCGGUAUGUAAAGCUCUAUCAGCAGGGAAGAAGAUGACGGUACCUGAGUAAGAAGCCCCGACUAACUAGCUGCCAGCAGCCGCGGUAAUACGUAGGGGGCAAGCGUUAUCCGGAUUUGCUGGGCGGAAAGGGAGCGUAGACGGUGAGGCAAGUCUGACGUGAAAGCCCGGGGCUCAACCCCGGGACUGCUUUGGAAACUGGCUGACUGGAGUGCUGGAGAGGCAAGCGGAAUUCCUAGUGUAGCGGUGAAAUGCGUAGAUAUCAGGAAGAACACCAGUGGCGAAGGCGGCUUGCUGGACAGUAACUGACGUUGAGGUGCGAAAGCGUGGGGAGCAAACAGGAUUAGAUACCCCUGUAGUC